AUGGGCGGAAGCCUGAUGCAGCAACGCCGCGUGAGGGAUGACGGCCUUCGGGUUGUAAACCUCUUUUAGCAAGGAAGAAGCGUGAGUGACGGUACUUGCAGAAAAAGCGCCGGCUAACUACGUGCCAGCAGCCGCGGUAAUACGUAGGGCGCAAGCGUUAUCCGGAAUUAUUGGGCGUAAAGAGCUCGUAGGCGGUUUGUCGCGUCUGCUGUGAAAUCCCGAGGCUCAACCUCGGGCCUGCAGUGGGUACGGGCAGACUAGAGUGCGGUAGGGGAGAUUGGAAUUCCUGGUGUAGCGGUGGAAUGCGCAGAUAUCAGGAGGAACACCGAUGGCGAAGGCAGAUCUCUGGGCCGUAACUGACGCUGAGGAGCGAAAGGGUGGGGAGCAAACAGGCUUAGAUACCCUGGUAGUCCACCCCGUAAACGUUGGGAACUAGUUGUGGGGUCCUUUCCACGGAUUCCGUGACGCAGCUAACGCAUUAAGUUCCCCGCCUGGGGAGUACGGCCGCAAGGCUAAAACUCAAAGGAAUUGACGGGGACCCGCACAAGCGGCGGAGCAUGCGGAUUAAUUCGAUGCAACGCGAAGAACCUUACCAAGGCUUGACAUACACGAGAACACCCUAGAAAUAGGGGACUCUUUGGACACUCGUGAACAGGUGGUGCAUGGUUGUCGUCAGCUCGUGUCGUGAGAUGUUGGGUUAAGUCCCGCAACGAGCGCAACCCUCGUUCUAUGUUGCCAGCACGUAAUGGUGGGAACUCAUGGGAUACUGCCGGGGUCAACUCGGAGGAAGGUGGGGAUGACGUCAAAUCAUCAUGCCCCUUAUGUCUUGGGCUUCACGCAUGCUACAAUGGCCGGUACAAAGGGCUGCAAUACCGUGAGGUGGAGCGAAUCCCAAAAAGCCGGUCCCAGUUCGGAUUGAGGUCUGCAACUCGACCUCAUGAAGUCGGAGUCGCUAGUAAUCGCAGAUCAGCAACGCUGCGGUGAAUACGUUCCCGGGUCUUGUACACACCGCCCGUCAAGUCAUGAAAGUCGGUAACACCUGAAGCCGGUGG
rnacentral:rRNA from 1 species